rnacentral:rRNA from 1 species
GGGUUGUGAGGUUAAGCGACUAAGCGUACACGGUGGAUGCCCUGGCAGUCAGAGGCGAUGAAGGACGUGCUAAUCUGCGAUAAGCGUCGGUAAGGUGAUAUGAACCGUUAUAACCGGCGAUUUCCGAAUGGGGAAACCCAGUGUGAUUCGUCACACUAUCAUUAACUGAAUCCAUAGGUUAAUGAGGCGAACCGGGGGAACUGAAACAUCUAAGUACCCCGAGGAAAAGAAAUCAACCGAGAUUCCCCCAGUAGCGGCGAGCGAACGGGGAGCAGCCCAGAGCCUGAAUCAGUGUGUGUGUUAGUGGAAGCGUCUGGAAAGGCGUGCGAUACAGGGUGACAGCCCCGUACACAAAAAUGCACAUAUUGUGAGCUCGAUGAGUAGGGCGGGACACGUGGUAUCCUGUCUGAAUAUGGGGGGACCAUCCUCCAAGGCUAAAUACUCCUGACUGACCGAUAGUGAACCAGUACCGUGAGGGAAAGGCGAAAAGAACCCCGGCGAGGGGAGUGAAAAAGAACCUGAAACCGUGUACGUACAAGCAGUGGGAGCACGCUUAGGCGUGUGACUGCGUACCUUUUGUAUAAUGGGUCAGCGACUUAUAUUCUGUAGCAAGGUUAACCGAAUAGGGGAGCCGAAGGGAAACCGAGUCUUAACUGGGCGUUAAGUUGCAGGGUAUAGACCCGAAACCCGGUGAUCUAGCCAUGGGCAGGUUGAAGGUUGGGUAACACUAACUGGAGGACCGAACCGACUAAUGUUGAAAAAUUAGCGGAUGACUUGUGGCUGGGGGUGAAAGGCCAAUCAAACCGGGAGAUAGCUGGUUCUCCCCGAAAGCUAUUUAGGUAGCGCCUCGUGAAUUCAUCUCCGGGGGUAGAGCACUGUUUCGGCAAGGGGGUCAUCCCGACUUACCAACCCGAUGCAAACUGCGAAUACCGGAGAAUGUUAUCACGGGAGACACACGGCGGGUGCUAACGUCCGUCGUGAAGAGGGAAACAACCCAGACCGCCAGCUAAGGUCCCAAAGUCAUGGUUAAGUGGGAAACGAUGUGGGAAGGCCCAGACAGCCAGGAUGUUGGCUUAGAAGCAGCCAUCAUUUAAAGAAAGCGUAAUAGCUCACUGGUCGAGUCGGCCUGCGCGGAAGAUGUAACGGGGCUAAACCAUGCACCGAAGCUGCGGCAGCGACGCUUAUGCGUUGUUGGGUAGGGGAGCGUUCUGUAAGCCUGUGAAGGUGUGCUGUGAGGCAUGCUGGAGGUAUCAGAAGUGCGAAUGCUGACAUAAGUAACGAUAAAGCGGGUGAAAAGCCCGCUCGCCGGAAGACCAAGGGUUCCUGUCCAACGUUAAUCGGGGCAGGGUGAGUCGACCCCUAAGGCGAGGCCGAAAGGCGUAGUCGAUGGGAAACAGGUUAAUAUUCCUGUACUUGGUGUUACUGCGAAGGGGGGACGGAGAAGGCUAUGUUGGCCGGGCGACGGUUGUCCCGGUUUAAGCGUGUAGGCUGGUUUUCCAGGCAAAUCCGGAAAAUCAAGGCUGAGGCGUGAUGACGAGGCACUACGGUGCUGAAGCAACAAAUGCCCUGCUUCCAGGAAAAGCCUCUAAGCAUCAGGUAACAUCAAAUCGUACCCCAAACCGACACAGGUGGUCAGGUAGAGAAUACCAAGGCGCUUGAGAGAACUCGGGUGAAGGAACUAGGCAAAAUGGUGCCGUAACUUCGGGAGAAGGCACGCUGAUAUGUAGGUGAAGCGACUUGCUCGUGGAGCUGAAAUCAGUCGAAGAUACCAGCUGGCUGCAACUGUUUAUUAAAAACACAGCACUGUGCAAACACGAAAGUGGACGUAUACGGUGUGACGCCUGCCCGGUGCCGGAAGGUUAAUUGAUGGGGUCAGCGCAAGCGAAGCUCUUGAUCGAAGCCCCGGUAAACGGCGGCCGUAACUAUAACGGUCCUAAGGUAGCGAAAUUCCUUGUCGGGUAAGUUCCGACCUGCACGAAUGGCGUAAUGAUGGCCAGGCUGUCUCCACCCGAGACUCAGUGAAAUUGAACUCGCUGUGAAGAUGCAGUGUACCCGCGGCAAGACGGAAAGACCCCGUGAACCUUUACUAUAGCUUGACACUGAACAUUGAGCCUUGAUGUGUAGGAUAGGUGGGAGGCUUUGAAGUGUGGACGCCAGUCUGCAUGGAGCCGACCUUGAAAUACCACCCUUUAAUGUUUGAUGUUCUAACGUUGACCCGUAAUCCGGGUUGCGGACAGUGUCUGGUGGGUAGUUUGACUGGGGCGGUCUCCUCCUAAAGAGUAACGGAGGAGCACGAAGGUUGGCUAAUCCUGGUCGGACAUCAGGAGGUUAGUGCAAUGGCAUAAGCCAGCUUGACUGCGAGCGUGACGGCGCGAGCAGGUGCGAAAGCAGGUCAUAGUGAUCCGGUGGUUCUGAAUGGAAGGGCCAUCGCUCAACGGAUAAAAGGUACUCCGGGGAUAACAGGCUGAUACCGCCCAAGAGUUCAUAUCGACGGCGGUGUUUGGCACCUCGAUGUCGGCUCAUCACAUCCUGGGGCUGAAGUAGGUCCCAAGGGUAUGGCUGUUCGCCAUUUAAAGUGGUACGCGAGCUGGGUUUAGAACGUCGUGAGACAGUUCGGUCCCUAUCUGCCGUGGGCGCUGGAGAACUGAGGGGGGCUGCUCCUAGUACGAGAGGACCGGAGUGGACGCAUCACUGGUGUUCGGGUUGUCAUGCCAAUGGCACUGCCCGGUAGCUAAAUGCGGAAGAGAUAAGUGCUGAAAGCAUCUAAGCACGAAACUUGCCCCGAGAUGAGUUCUCCCUGACCCUUUAAGGGUCCUGAAGGAACGUUGAAGACGACGACGUUGAUAGGCCGGAUGUGUAAGCGCAGCGAUGCGUUGAGCUAACCGGUACUAAUGAACCGUGAGGCUUAACCUUACAACGCCGAAG